UUGUAGCCAUAUUCAUGUUGAAACACUGAUUCUCAUAUGAUCACUGAAGUUAAGCAAUGUUGAGCCUGGUCAGUACCUAGAUGAGUGACCAUUUAGGAAUACCAGGUGCUGUAA
rnacentral:rRNA from 1 species